UUGCAACAUACUUUAGCAUGUCUGGAAAUGUGUUUUUUCCUGCCCACAUCUUAAAAAGACAUAAUUGCACAGUGGGUGCCUUUGUGAUUUUUUUAAGUGCCUUCUGUGAACAAGGAGAAAUGCAGACAUGUUGGCAGAGCUGAUCAUUUUCAUUGUGGAUCUCAUGCUUGCUUUAGCCAUUUUUGUUAUCCUAUAUGCUGUUUACUUCAUAGCAGCCACAGGUAUUUUUAUCUUAGUCCUUCUCUAUAUUUUCAAAACGGAGAUGGAAAAAAACUGUGACAUCAACAAGGGGAGAAUCUGGGUACUGGAUUCUUCUAACCAUAGUUCUGGGAAGCUAUUUGCAGGCAAUUUAGAGAAAGUCUGCUCCAGGAGGGUUCCAACCUCCUGGAACAGACUUUCAGCCUCAAGAGAAGGGGCUUUCUUGCCCAAAGAAAGUUAUCUCUUCUAAAGAGUGAUGAGCUCUCUGGAGCAGAGGAGACCCAUGGAAAGACUUCCUGGAACACCGGACUCAACCAACUGAGAGGUAUCUUUUUAAAAGGACGUCCUGCCCCCCAAUCGUAUAAGCUUCUGCUUCCAUUAACUCUGUGUUCACUACUCCUGAGUGAUAUUUUUACUGAACAAAAGAAACUUGUGCACAAUAUUAUAUUUAUUCAUCAAUGAAUUUGGACCAACCAGUAUCUUUAUUCUAUAUGAGAGAUAUUGUUUAAGGUCACACUACCAUCUACACAUGAAUAACAAUGAAGUUCUCAUAAACGAGCAGAAAUACCCAGGAAACAUGAAGAGUUGAUUGCUUCAAAAACUCAUGUAUUAUGACAUUACAACCUCAGAAAAGAUAUGUUUUAUAACUCUAAAAACUCAAUUGUGGAAAGAGUAAACAAGCUGUUUGAUGGCAGAGUACCAAAACUUGUUGAAAUACCUUUGGAGCUUUAACUAUACAGAGUCACCAAAAUGUUUCAUGAAUUUAAUUGAAAAAUGUUCCUUUAAAACUGCCUUAGCCAAUCAGAGCAUUUUUGCCAUUGCCUCUGCUGGUCUCAGUGUGGUCCAGAAGAAUCAUCGUCCACUACCUCACUGAGAAACAGCACGAAGGCUCUGCUAUCUUACAGCUUUGACUGUAUGUGAUUUCUCUCUCCACCAUAACACCUUGUCAAAGCUUGCCACACUUAUUGCAUUCUGUAUUUUACUUGCUUUGGUUAUUUGUACAGUUUUCCCUAUUUCAUCUUCAAAUUAUCCCUAAAUUUUAGCAAUUUCUCCUCAGCUGCUCUGUAUUCUCAAUAGUGCUUUUCCAAGUGCCAUGAAUAUUAAUAAAUAUUUUCCUGAGUCAAUGAACCCACCAAAUCUGAAUCCACAGUUAUAAAUGCUGUAUAUUUCAAGGAAAGGUGAAAAUUAAUGGAGGACCAUUAGCAGAGGAAUGAGCUUAUCAGAAUUCUCAAAAUUCAACAAGAAGGUCCAGAAGUUAGGGUCUGAAGCGUUUGUUCAUGUUUUUACAAAUGGUUAAUUCCUUAAGAAUAGCUAAUCAGCAGCAAAAUUCCAGUUUUUCAGACAUUCACACUUUUGUUCAUGGGAAGCCAAGAAGAGACCAUGACAGAGAUAGAAGAGCAACUGGGCUGGGAAGGUAUGUGAAGAGCCAUUGGGAAAGGAGAAACAGAGGAAGCUUGACAUUCUGGAAUGUGAGCCUACGCAGUACUUGGUUCCCCAGAAAGCUGAGCUGGGCACAGUAUGUGUGUGCAGAAAGUUUACUUUGGGCACUUCCAUCCCAAACUACUGGAAGACAUGGAGUUGUCAAGCUAAACAUCAUAGGCAGUUUUGGCUCAAUCCUCCAGGGGGCGCUCUGAAAAGAUGCAUAGAAUAUACCUCAAAGUUGUCCACCAGAAGGACCAACGAAAGAAAUUAUCCAUCAGCUUUCUUCUCCCUUUGGUCAAGAAUUUCUCUGCAGGGUGUGCAUGACCUUGAACUUCUAGGAUUGUGUCUAAUCCAUGCUUCAGAACAGUUGAAUGAUUUCCAGAAGGCAUCUUAAGAGAUGGCAAAAGAGAAGCUCCAGGACAGAAAGCAAGAGAUCGGUGUUGCCCCUGAUGGAAGGUGCUGCCAAGUGACGCCACCAUCAAAGUGGCUACUGUAAACAGGUGGGCCAGAGGAGGUGACCUGGGGCACAAGAGAAUGACUGACAUCACUCUUUUAGUAGUACAGGAACCAAAUACAAGACUGUCUGCUCUGGAAAUAAUGAGCACAGGAUCAUAUCCAUCCAUUUUGGACAGAGAAAGGGGCACUCAGACCAAGGGGCAGCCAGAAAAAAACACAACUGGAGAUCAGAAGACACCAGGGCCUCGGGGGCAUUGCCCUUGCUAAGAACCAAACUCCACCUUCCCUCUGCUUCAAACAGAGACCAACACCGGGUGGGAGUGUUUCUUCCUAUUCAUGUUUUUGGUAUUUGGUUUCUACUUAUUUUAACUUGCCAGCCCUGACAAAACAAUGCCAUCUGGCAGCCACUGCUUAUCUGCAUAUAAAUUGUUUUAUCUCUUUAGGUGCUCUGAGUUUUGUGAAUGUUAUGAAAACCUCUCAGGUUUUAAUACUUAUAACCCUAGUUUGAAUUUCUCCAAAAGCAGGCCCUGAGGCAAGGGCAUGGUACAAAUAAUUUAUUUGGGUGGUGACCCCAGGUAGUGCUGCAAGGGAGUGGGAAGUGAAGCAGGGAAGAAAAGGCAGUGUGUGUACAUGAGCAGGUUUCAGUCUUUCUGAUUACAUGCACCAUUGAGUGACUGGAGCUGGGUGUCUAUGCACAGGCUCUAGAUCCUCACUAAUUGAAGGUUCCUCCUGGGCACAAACCUAUGGCACUUUCAGGUUGCCCUGCAUGCAGGCAGACAAGGCAGCAGAGACAUGCGGCUGGUUGAGGUGGAGGGGAUGGGUGUACACAAAGCUGCAGUGAAUCCAGACAUUGGUCAAGGGCAUAUAGAUUGGAGCAUUGUGGCUUCUACUAUGCACCCUGAGAUAAUUUUGCACAGGUCAAAAUGUCCAAACACGGAGAAAAACAAUAGCAAAAACCUCCUCUGGUAUCUAGGUGGAAAGAAGAAUAUUUAAUUAGUAAAGAGUUAGAGGCAACUAAAAUAACUUUGAAACUGAGAUUAUUUAUUAAAAUUUGCAGACAAAAACUUCAAAAUGGCGUUAAUGAAAAUCCUAUUGGCUGUGGCUGAAGAACAAAUUAGGAAAGAAACCGACAUGCUUAUUGCUCUACCCUACAAACAAAGGCCCUCACCAAACUGUGUUAAAUAACCUGCUCUGCUCUGUUCCUGUAUGAACACAUGGAAACCACUGGGGAUUUUUUGAUUCUGUGGCAUUAGUCAUUGCUCUGGACUGUCACUGAGGUGGAGUCACUCAAAGAGAGAAGGGUUGUGACCCUCUUUUUUCCCACCCAGUGUUUUCUGAUGGAAGGACAAUGACAAUUUAUGAAAAUUUGACUUAAAUGAAGUUGAUUUCACAGGGAACAGAAGGCUGAACAGAGCAUAGAAGAGAAGCUAGAAAGAAAAUAGUCUCAGUGGCUUCAUAGAUUAAAAACUCACAAUUCUUCAUUUUCUCCUAAUAAAAUUAUAAAUACACCCUUCUGCCGUGACAUUAGGGUAGACUGAGUGAACAGCUUGGAUUCCGGGCUUGGCCAUGUGACUUGUUUAAACAAAGUUAGCAGACAUCACAUUAACCUGAAUGUUACACUUGUCUUCUUGGCAAUUGUGAUCCUCUAUGAAGAGGACACAUCCCAAGUAACUGUUCUUCUUCAGCUUUAGCUUAGGCUCCAGAAUGAAAUGUGGAGCCAACUUGAACCCAGAUCCAGACAGGUGUCUGUUUUGGGACAGAGAACCUGAGGCAGAGCUGCUCAGCCAAGGCUAUUUUAGAUGAGACCCCCAAGCAUGAGGACAAAGUGCUUACUGUUGUGUAAACUAUUGAAUUUGCAAAUAAAUUUAUUACGUAGCACAACUGUGACAUUGUAAAAGUCCUCAAUAAAUACUAACAUAUUCAUUA